ensembl:lncRNA
AAAAUGUGUCACUAUAGGGGUCUGAAUACUCGCUAAAUAUAGUGACUAAGUCGAUAAAUUGGCAACACUGCCAAUGAGUGCAGCUGCGCUUAUUGUUUGCAACAUGAGUGUAUGAUGACGGGUAGCCUGGCGCCGCGCCAGGGAGGAGGAGUGGGAGCAGGCGUGACAGGAUGAAGGUCUACGUAUUCAAACUACGUCACACCAUGAGAAAGUAAAAAGAAACAGCGAUGUUGUAGCGGUUUAUCGACACCACUGCAUUUUUGGGCAUGCAACAAUUGGCUUUUAGAGGACACGAUGAGAGGGAAAGUUCCGCUAACAAGGGCAACUACAAUGAGAUUGCGGAGCAACUGGGUUCUACAGUUUGACCCCACUGCUGUCCCUGGCUCCACACACAUCCUGCCCGGCCAUCUAGAUGUUUGAAGGUAGGUGUCUUUUCUGUAGGGAAGCUAAUGAUCCAUCAUGUAUGACAUUCCUGGGAGCUUGUAAACAUAAAUGUUUUUAUUACCAUAUCAUUUUUGUAUGUUCUCUAUAGUUAUGUACUUGAACAUUUUUAAUUUGACCAAUUCAGAACAUUUGGGCAAACUCCUGGCAGAUGUAAUUCUUCACUGGAUCAGUCUGAACCUUUGCACACAUACUGCUGCCAUCUUGUGGACAACAUCUAAAUUCACACCCAUAAUCCUAUAUCAAUGGAUGGCCUUUCUCUUGCAUUUCCAAAUGAUUGUAUUAUCUUUUUCCAGAUCUAAUGUGUUAUAUUUUCCUACAUUAAUUUCAAAUUUCCACAGACUUCCAUAAACUUCAAAGUGUUUCCUUUCAAAUGGUAUCAAGAAUAUGCAUAUCCUUGGUUCAGGUUCUGGAGAUACAGGCAGUUAGAUUUGGGUAUGUCAUUUAGGCAGAAAUUGGAAAAAAGGGUCUGAUCCUUAUUAAGAGAUGAUGACCACUCAGCUACUGUUGUCAUCUCUCUCCGGACAUGAACUGAAGCCACAUUUCAUUUGCCCGGUCAUUCACUAGCAAAUUGAAUGUUUCCUGUCCAAGCACUUUAAAUCCUGUCCUGCCCUCAGUGGAAGAGUUGAGCUCUCUCCAAACACCAUCCAUCCAUCCAUGAUGAGCCUGUCCUGCACUAAAGUCUAUGAACACCUCAACCCCCGUCCUUCACUGAAGUCGAACCUCUGAACACCUCAACUCAUGCCUCAUACCCUCAUUCAAUCACUGCUGUGAUCCCUUCCCAACACUGGUGAUUAUCAACUUGGCAUGGCACCUUCCAUUGUUGGGAGAAAGAGCAGAGCAGGCCCUAGGGUCAGGAGGAGGAAAACCUUUCAAAAAAUGGCAUGCCCUUCUAAAACUGGUUAUAAUUACAGCUCUGUUUAUGAUAUUAAGAUUCUAACAAUGGCAGUCUGUUAUAUAGACUCAUUUAGGAAAAGUCAAGGAGGGGAGGCAUGACUUUAUAAUUGGCAGAGAAGGAGGACCAGAAGGAGCCGCUGCUCAGUGCAACGCAGCCUCCAUCCUCAUGGAUGAAGACCGCAUGGAGCUGGUGUAGCUAACCAUGGCAGCAGUGGCCCUGCCCUCUCUGGCCAUCCUGACCGGGGCUCAGGAGAUCUCAGACGACUAGUGGAAGGACAUGGUCCAGAAGAUGCUCCAGACUCGCCAAAGCUCAGAAGGCCUGACUAUGGAGCGCAAAUUAGACUGAAUUGCCUCCUUUCCCACAGUGUCUUUAACUGUGCCCUGCAUUUCACCAUCACACUUACCCCAGGGGAGUCUGAGCUGAGGUCCUCUGAACAGUCCUAGGUGUCUCAAUUCUCAAGAUAUGAGAGAAAUUGUGCAAACCCCUUUAUGUCCAAUUCAUAUUAUAUUAGGAUAUAUCUCCUAAAUAUUUGUGUUUGAAAGGAGCCUCUGGGUACUCACUGAUCCUAACCUAGAGGGCGGCAGGUAGCUUAGUGGUUAAGCACAUCGGGCCAAUGACUGAAAGAUUGCUGGUUUGAAUCCCCAAGCCAACUAGGUGAAACAUCUGCCUGUGCCCUUGAGCAUGCCACUUAACCUUAAUUGUUCCAGUACAUUUCUCUGGAUAAGAGUGUCUGUAAAAUAUGUAUCUUUUUUUCAUGAGCAGUCAAAAAUACUGACUGAGCAGUUCUAGUGUUAAAUGGCUGUGGGCUAGCAGACUGGUUCAUACUGUGUACAUUACUGUUCAUACUGUGUUGUCAUUGAAUUAAAAUUAUUUUAAUGGUUGUCCCUAACGACCUGAUUCAUACUGUAGUUUGUAGCCUACAUUUCUGUACCAUGCAUAUUAUUGUCUGUUUAGCAUUGCUGAAGCCAACUAGCCAAGUCCAUAGAUUAUAGGCACUCAAUAAAU